GGGGGUGAUUGGUAUCGACUUGAGAUGAACGAUCAUAGGUGGCAUGCCGAGGAAGCCUGGUUGGCCUCGUUAAUAAUCCGGGCAAAAAACAAAUGCAGACUACAACGUAGUGGCAGAAGCUGAGGCUAUUGUAGCCGAAGCAACACCAGUCUUUGCUUAAAAUUUAAGCAAAGCCCUCUUGUCAGCCUCGCCUGUGGGUUGAUAAGAGGCACUUAGCAGGCUAGCCAUAGUCAUGCCUUCGGGAUUAUGGCGAAAUCAAGAAGGAUAGUCUUGCCGGAUUUUGUCUGUUGAAGCUGGCAGGAUGAGAUUAAAAAACAGACUAAGCAUGUAGAGGCUUAUGUGAUGCAUCACAAGGACCCGGGUUCGACCCCCGGCACCUCCACUU
rnacentral:tmRNA from 1 species